rnacentral:rRNA from 1 species
CCCUUAGAUGUCCGGGGCCGCACGCGCGCUACACUGAAGGAGUCAGCGUGGCUUUCUCCCUGACCCGAAAGGGUUGGGAAACCCGUUGAAUCUCCUUCGUGAUAGGGAUUGGGGCUUGAAAUUGUUCCCCAUGAACGAGGAAUUCCUAGUAAGCGCAAGUCAGCAGCUUGCGUUGAUUACGUCCCUGCCCUUUGUACACACCGCCCGUCGCUACUACCGAUUGAAUGGUUUAGUGAGAUCUUCGGAUUGGCGCCACUGCGGCUCAGCAAUGGGCUCGGUGGAUGCCGAAAAGUUGAUCAAACUUGAUCAUUUAGAGGAAGUAAAAGUCGUAACA